rnacentral:rRNA from 1 species
GACGAACGCUGGCGGCGUGCUUAACACAUGCAAGUCGAACGGAAAGGCCCUGCUUUUGUGGGGUGCUCGAGUGGCGAACGGGUGAGUAACACGUGAGUAACCUGCCCUUGACUUUGGGAUUACUUCAGGAAACUGGGGCUAAUACCGGAUAGGAGCUCCUGCUGCAUGGUGGGGGUUGGAAAGUUUCGUCGGUUGGGGAUGGACUCGCGGCUUAUCAGCUUGUUGGUGGGGUAGUGGCUUACCUAGGCUUUGACGGGUAGCCGGCCUGAGAGGGUGACCGGACACAUUGGGACUGAGAUACAGCCCAGACUCCUACGGGGGGCAGCAGAGGGGAAUAUUGCACGAUGGGCGGAAACCUGAUGCAGCAAAGCCGCGUGCGGGAGGACGGCCUUCGGGUUGUAAACCGCUUUCGCCUGUGACGAAGCGUGAGUGACGGUAAUGGGUAAAGAAGCACCGGCUAACUACGUG